UGUCUGUAACUGCAACUCAAGCAAGUUUUCCUGCCUGCACCGCGAUCAUCUUCAGUAGGCUGAGAACAUCCUGGAAGGAGCUGAACUUCUGCACCUCUGUUGUCUUCCAAGGAAGUGGAGGAUACUCAGGCUGGGGACAGAUAUUCAAAAAGCCCAAGCCUGAAUUGAUUAAAUCUUUGCAGCAAACUGACAGCACUCAUAGGCUCCAUGUGUUGCAAACCAGAUCAUUUCUCACACCUGUCUCUGUCCCCUGUUGAACACUGACAGAUUGCAGCCUUUGAAGCAAGCAAGCCAGCAGCCAGCAGGAA